rnacentral:rRNA from 1 species
UACAGAGGGUGCGAGCGUUGUCCGGAAUCACUGGGCGUAAAGGGCGCGUAGGUGGCACGACAAGUCAGUGGUGAAAGCUCGACGCUCAACGUCGAGUCGGCCACUGAUACUGUUGAGCUGGAGCACUGUAGAGGCUAAUGGAAUUCCGGGUGUAGCGGUGGAAUGCGUAGAGAUCCGGAAGAACACCGGUGGCGAAGGCGAUUAGCUGGGCAGUUGCUGACACUGAGGCGCGACAGCGUGGGGAGCAAACAGG